GAUGGGGAGGGGAUGGAGUAUUGGAAAGCAAAUCCUAGAUAUAUUUUCACUCAAAAUGCCUCAUUAUGUAUCUGUAAUAGAUAAGAACUUAAAAAAAACUGCAAUGCCAUUAUCAUAUCUGAAAAAGUGAUUAAUUUCUUAAUAUCAGAUAGUCUACAUUUUGUCUCAAAAAUGUCUUUUAAAAAAAUCUUAUUUAUUCAAAUCAAAUCCUCACAAGAUCUAAAUAUUGUAUUUAGUUGUUACUAACAUUUUAGAAUGUUAUUUAUUUUAGAAGUCAUUUAUUUACAUGCAUUUAACCUUUAUAUUAAACCAACGCAGAAGGUAUGGUCCCAGCUCAGAGAGGUUAAGAAACCUUACCAAGGUCUCAUUGCUGGCAGGCACCGGACACAUAAUUUGAAUUAAAUCUUCUUAACUCCAAAGCCUCCAUGCCACUCCUUCUGAUGCAGGCUAACAGAAUUUUUCCUGUGUUGCAGAGAGGCAAAAGGGCCACUAUUUAAGAGAGAGGGUCCGGGUGUGGUGGCUCAUGCAUGUAAUCCCAGCACUUUUUGAGGCCGAGGCAGGCAAAUCGCUUGAGUCCAGGAGUUCGAAACCAGUCUGGGCAAGAAUGGUGGAACCUCAUCUCUACAAAAAAAUACAAAAAUUAGCUGGGGGUAGUGGCGUACACCUGUAGUCCCAGCUACUGGGGAUGCUGAGGUGGGAGGAUCACUUGCGCCUGGGAGGUUGAGGCCACAGUGAGCUGACAGCUAACCCUGAUUGCCUCCAUAGACUGUGCCACUGCAUGCCAUCUGGGCUGACAAGAGUGAGACCCUGUUUAAAAAAAAAAAAAAAAAGGAAAGAAAAAGUAAAAAGAGAUAGGGUUUGGAUUCAGGUUGGCCUGGAUGCAAAUUGGUGCAAAUUACAUAAUCUCUCUGAACUUUCAUUUCUGUCUGCAUCUGUAAAUAAGGAUAAUGAUGAAGAUUUGGGGCAGAUUAAAUAAGAAUAUGCAUGCCUAGUAUUUAGCACAGUGCGUGGCACACGGAAAGCCCUCGAUAAAUGUUAGCAAUUAAUGUAGAAGAGGAAAAAGAACCACAAAGUAUUUAAACAUUUGCAUUUGUUAGUAGCUCGAGGAAAUGGUGGCUCAUCAUUGUUAAUAGAGCCUGCUUAGGAUUGAGGCUGAAGGGGGGAAGGGUGGGAGUGGGGAUAGGAUAGGGGAGUGGCUCUACCUGGAUUGGAGAAAGGAGUUCUGGACAUAAAGAUUUAAAUUGGUGUCCGAGGAGUUCUCACAAGGCCUCAGCUGGAAAACAGUUAAAUGCAUCUUCUGACCACUAACCCAGGUUGCCUCCAGAGAAGGAAAACCAAGUGGGUGGCAGACAGGGUGGGAGGGAGACUUCUUGCUGUUUAUUUGAAUUUGGAACCAUGUGAAUGCAUUCAACCUAUUCCAAAAGAAUAAAUUACAUUAAAAAAUGGUCUUUUGCUAUGGGGAUAAGUGCUGAGAAUGGUAAGACUAGGAUCUAAUGAUAAUAAUAAUAAUAAUUCCAUUAUACUUUGUGCAGCCCUAGGAGGGCUUCAGUCAUGCAGGACAGGUUUUGAACUAAGAUUGGGACUUUUUCAGCCUGACUCUGAUUUCAAAGAUCCAAGCUAAUAUUUUAAUUUCAGUCACCCUCCUUCUGACCCUGAUUGUAGAAAGAUUCCAGACCCAGCGCUCAUGGACUUGGUUUAUUCAACCUGUGGAUUGCCUUCAAGAGUAUGCAUUGUUGGGAGUCAAGUCUAUUGGUAAAAUCAGGGAUGCAUUGUCUGUGCAUCUGCCGGUGUUUCCCAGUCCUUUUGGUGCUCUCUUUCUCUCUCUCUCUCUCCCUCUCUCUAUAUAUAUAAUUUUAUUUUUUGAGACAGAGUCUUGCGCUGUCACCCAGGCUGGAGUGCAGUGGGGCAAUCUGCUCACUGCAGCCUCAACCCCGUGGGCUCAAGCCAUCCUCCUGCCUUAGCCUCCUCAGUAGCUGGGACUACAGGCAUGCACCACUAUGCCUGGCUAAUUUUUUAUUUUUUAAUAAUAAACGUGGAGAGGGUCUCUCUACAUUGUCCAGGCUGGUCUCAAACUCCUCAGCUCAAGCGAUCCGCCUACCUCAUCCGCCCAAAGCGCUGGGAUGACAGGUGUGAGCCACCCCGCCUGGCCCCAUAGAUAUUUUUCUGAUGCUUCAAUCAGCUAAGACUCUGAGGAUCUGAUUUUCUAGAGUCCUUUGGAAGGUGGGGGGGGGGCGGGGCGGGGGAGGAUACACAACCCUAUUCACAAAUAUUAGUAACUUGCUUUAAACUCUAAGGCCUUACAUAAAAUAACUCAUUUAAACCUCACAAUAACACUAUGAUAUGAAUACUAUCAUUCCCAUUUUACAGGCAAAGAAACUGAACCAAGCGGUUAAGUAAUUUGCCUAAGGUCAGAGCCUGCAGAGCUAACCAUCUGGCAUUACCAUCACUCUGUUGGCAAUGAACAGAGCGGGCCAAGCGUGUAGGGUGUAGGGGGUCCUUUGAAGAUGACAAAAGCGUCCUUGGCUGUGUAGCCGCAAAUCCCAAAUCCUUCCUUCUCUGCAGCUUCUGGUUUAGGAGCUGGAAAGACAGGCUGUGAAUUUCCACAUUGACCUGGGGCAAUUAACUUAACUCUCCGAAUAGGUUCCUUAUCUGCCCCGGGGAGGAGUUUUAGAUUAAGAGGGUGUGUGUGUGUGCUGGGAGGGAGGUGGAGGGGCUGAGUUUUCUGGGUGGUGCGGUUUUCCCAAGUCCCGUUUUGAGGUUUUGUCCUAGCCAGCUCCCGCUCAGGUCCCUGGGCGGUGACGGUGGUCAAGCUUAGCUUGGCUGUUCCUCCUCCGCUUGGAAAAAGGCCGCCACUGGGGCCAACUCCGGCCACAGCGCUGCUGCCAGGAGACCUAGGGAAAGAAGCUUGGAAAUGCAGGGGUCUCAGGCCAGGUUCCCUGACACCUGGGCCGACCACUGCCACGCCUUCUCGGGACCUGGGGGCCGUCCUGCUGUUGCCCUCCGCCCCCGCCCGCGCCGCGGAGGUUUGAACCUUCGGCUCGCCUUUCAGCCCGCGCCCUGCCCCCUGCUCGCAGCUGCUCCCGGUUUGGGUGCAGCGGUUUCCCCCGCAGAGGAGGAGGAGGAGACAGCGCGAGGGAGCGACUCCGGGCUCGGGUUUCCGCACCAAUGCCGAGCAGCCCCGGGCGGCCCCCGGUGGCCG
rnacentral:lncRNA from 10 species